AACAAAUUGAUACAUCUUGAUUUUAAAUUUUUGUUUAAAAAAAAUCCACAAGUAAAACAUACACAGCUUCAAAGAAACUGUCAUUAAUGCAUAUUUAGAAAUGGUCUGAUUUAAGAUUAAACGUCAACACUUUUAAGGUCAACCCUGUUACUUUAUUUGGGCACUUCAAAAACAAAUUUUAUUUGUCACAUGCGCCGAAUAUAACAGGUGUGUAGACUUAACCGUGAAAUUCUUGCUUACAGCCCUUCACAACGAUUCAAAGUUUUUAAAAAAACAUGGGGAUUGUAACAAGAGGAAUAGAAUACACAAUAAUAACACCAUAUACAGGGAUUACCAGUACCAGAUCAAUGUGCAACUAUAUACAGGGAUUACCAGUACCAGAUCAAUGUGCAGCUAUAUACAGGGAUUACCAGUACCAGAUCAAUGCGCAGCUAUAUACAGGGAUUACCAGUACCAGAUCAAUGUGCAGCUAUAUACAGGAAGUACCAGAUCAAAGAGAUAAAUGUGCAGGGUAAAGUGACUAGGCAUCAGGACAGACCAGAAUACAAUAAAGUGCAGAGUAGCUGCAGAUGAGUGGAACCGUGUGUUUAUAUAUGCCUCCUAAAUGACGUACUAUAGUCAUGUAUUUGUUGUACAGAUGAGAAAACAUGUUUUAAUGAAGUUGUUAAUGUAACAGUAUAACUUUAAUCUAGCUAGCCAUUUCACAUCCGUUACAGUAACAUUAGUUGAAAUAAAAGUUACACUACCCAAAAUAUACUCAAUUGGAGGCAGAACCCACACAGUCAUCAGCCCUAGGCUAAAUACCAACAAGGUAUCCACGCAGCCCUACUAACCUAGGCUCAAUGCCAACAAGGUAUCCACGCAGCCCUACUACCAUAGGCUCAAUGUAAACAAGGUAUCCACGCAGCCCUAUGACCCUAGGCUCAAUGCCAACAAGGUAUCCACACAGCCCUACUAACCUAGGCUCAAUGCCAACAAGGUAUCCACUCAGCCCUACUACCCUAGGGUCAAUGCCAACAAGGUAUCCACGCAGCCCUACUAACCUAGGCUCAAUGCCAACAAGGUAUCCACUCAGCCCUACUACCCUAGGGUCAAUGCCAACAAGGUAUCCACGCAGCCCUACUAACCUAGGCUCAAUGCCAACAAGGUAUCCACUCAGCCCUACUAACCUAGGCUCAAUGCCAACAAGGUAUCCACUCAGCCCUACUAACCUAGGCUCAAUGCCAACAAGGUAUCCACUCAGCCCUACUAACCUAGGCUCAAUGCCAACAAGGUAUCCACACUCACUAUGUCCUCUGUAUGCUGUUCUAACCCAUCUAUGAAAGGGUGUGAUGCACUCUUGGUUGGAAUGAGGUCCAUGUCCAUCUCAGCUUUUCUCUUCCUUGGAGAAAAGGUCAGUGGAAGGUCUUUAUCCUGUGGAACAUGGGCCUUCAUAUCCAGCAGCACACUUCUGAGCUGUGAAGACAGGUCAGUCACGUACUGUUCCUCUUGGAGAUGAUAAGUGAGUUCUGUGAUCUCUUUAAGAUAUCCUGCACAUUGCCUCCGUAACCGCAACAGCUUCCUAGAGGACCUCUUCUUUCCUCUUCCAGAUGGACCUUCGUAUGGACGGUCAAUGUUGGAGUCUCCGGUGGCCCGCUUGGUCUUAAACAUGACAUUUCUUAUGUCACUGUCAGUGGGGUAAUAGCGCCUGCGAGUAGGUGGAGGGGGCUGCUCUCCAUGGAAAAGCUCUUCCACUACAAAGGUGUUCAGAUGACACUUCAUUUCAGUCAUCUUUCUCACACCAGACAGAGUCAGCUGCUCAAUCUUCUCUCUCAGCCUGGCAUCUACAGCUUCCCUAACAUGAGCUGCCUGUUGGAGAAAGAACACAUGGGUUUAUCAUAAAGGGGCCAGUGGGUCAGGGGGUAACUUAACCAACAGUCUAUUAUAUAGGUUCUAUAGUUAUAUUUACCUCGCCAACAACUGCAUGUGAGCUGUGCUCAGAGAGGGAGGGGAACCUGACGCAGUAGACAACCUCUGCCUUCACGGAGCUGGGUGUUUCACUUAGUGCUGCCUUCAGAGUUUGGGAGGCCUCCUUUUUAGAGCGCACUGUACCUUCCUCAAUCUAGACAUGAAAAAGGGGUAUUUGUUACAUAUGUACUGGUACUAUGUACGGUGUUAGGCUGAUUCACAGGUUGUGUGUACAUAUCCAGCUCAAUUCUGAUACAUUUUUUUUUUUUUUUUUUAGACAGACCAACAGAAGGCCUAGACCUUGAUAUAAGUUUUCAUGUUUACCUUAAAAUCAGGAAAGCGAAUAACGUGGGCGAUGUUUAUUAUAGCCUUGCAGUCCACCUUUUUGGUAUUUUGUACCAGUUUCCGUCUCUUUACAAAGGCAUGGUCUUCAAGCUACGGAAGAUAUAAUAAUACAUUUGACUUUUAUAGCACUUUUCUAGACACCCAAAGCUCUUUACAGUGUACAGGGAAACUCACCACCCUAACCCCACCUACAUACUCUUGCAAUAAGUGCCAUGGCCUCUUUAGUGACCACAGCGUU
ensembl:lncRNA